UGAACUCGGCAAAUUGCCCCCGUAACUUAGGGAGAAGGAGGGCCGGAGACGUGAAGCCCCGCGCGGGUGGAGCGUUGUAUGGCCGCAGAGAGCAGGGGGAAGCGACUGUUUACUAAAAACACAGGUCCAUGCGAAGAAGUAAUUCGAUGUAUAUGGACUGACGCCUGCCCGGUGCUGGAACGUUAAGGGGACCUGUUAGCUCUUCGGGGCGAAGCGGAGAACUUAAGCGCCAGUAAACGGCGGUGGUAACUAUAACCAUCCUAAGGUAGCGAAAUUCCUUGUCGGGUAAGUUCCGACCUGCACGAAUGGCGUAACGACUUCCCCACUGUCUCAACCACAGGCCCGGCGAAAUUGCAGUACGAGUAAAGAUGCUCGUUACGCGCGGCAGGACGGAAAGACCCCGGGACCUUUACUAUAGCUUGACAUUGGUACUCGAAUUAGCUUGUGUAGGAUAGGUGGGAGCCGGUGAAGUCCAUACGCCAGUAUGGGUGGAGGCAAUCUUGAAAUACCACUCUGGUUGAUUUGGGUAUCUAACUUCGGACCGUUAUCCGGUUCAGGGACAGUGUCUGGUGGGUAGUUUAACUGGGGCGGUUGCCUCCUAAAAGGUAACGGAGGCGCCCAAAGGUUCCCUCAGCCUGGUUGGCAAUCAGGUGUUGAGUGCAAGUACACAAGGGAGCUUGACUGUGAGACUGACAGGUCGAGCAGGGACGAAAGUCGGGACUAGUGAUCCGGCACUUGCGAGUGGAAGCGGUGUCGCUCAACGGAUAAAAGGUACCCCGGGGAUAACAGGCUGAUCUUCCCCAAGAGUCCAUAUCGACGGGAUGGUUUGGCACCUCGAUGUCGGCUCGUCGCAUCCUGGGGCUGUAGCAGGUCCCAAGGGUUGGGCUGUUCGCCCAUUAAAGCGGUACGCGAGCUGGGUUUAGAACGUCGUGAGACAGUUCGGUCCCUAUCCGCCGUGCGCGUAGGAUACUUGAGAAGGGCUGUCCCUAGUACGAGAGGACCGGGACGGACGAACCUCUGGUGUGCCAGUUGUCCCGCCAGGGGCACGGCUGGUUAGCUACGUUCGGAAGGGAUAACCGCUGAAAGCAUCUAAGCGGGAAGCCUGCUUCAAGAUGAGGUAUCCCACCCACUUUGUGGGGUAAGGCCCCCAGCUAGACGACUGGGUUGAUAGGCCGGAAAUGUAAGCCCGGUAACGGGUUCAGUCGACCGGUACUAAUAGGCCGAGGACUUGACUG
rnacentral:rRNA from 1 species